rnacentral:rRNA from 1 species
GAUGAACGCUAGCGACAGGCCUAACACAUGCAAGUCGAGGGGCAGCACAUGCGUAGCAAUACGAUGGUGGCGACCGGCGCACGGGUGAGUAACACGUAUGCAACAUGCCUGUAAGAGGGGAAUAACCCGGAGAAAUUCGGACUAAUACCGCAUAAUACCACCAGACUGCAUGGUUUUGUGGUUACACAUUUAUGGCUUACAGAUGGGCAUGGGUAUGAUUUGUUAUUUGGUAGGGUAACGGCCUACCAAGUCUACGAUCAUUAGGGGUUCUGAGAGGAAGGUCCCCCACACUGGUACUGAGACACGGACCAGACUCCUACGGGAGGCAGCAGUGAGGAAUAUUGGUCAAUGGGCGAGAGCCUGAACCAGCCAAGUCGCGUGAAGGAAGAAGGUUCUAUGGAUUGUAAACUUCUUUUGCAGGGGAAUAAAGGACGGUACGUGUACUGUUUUGUAUGUACCUUGCGAAUAAGGAUCGGCUAACUCCGUGCCAGCCGCCGCCGUAAUAC